UACAGAGGUCUCAAGCGUUUGUUCGGAUUCAUUGGGCGUAAAGGGGUGCGUAGGCGGCGCGGUAAGUCGGGUGUGAAAUCUCGGAGCUUAACUCCGAAACUGCAUUCGGUACUGCCGUGCUUGAGGACUGGAGAGGAGACUGGAAUUUACGGUGUAGCGGUGAAAUGCGUAGAUAUCGUAAGGAAGACCAGUGGCGAAGGCGG
rnacentral:rRNA from 1 species